rnacentral:rRNA from 1 species
AGAGUUUGAUUAUGGCUCAGGCAUGAACGCUGGCGGCGUGCCUAACACAUGCAAGUCGAACGGACCCCUCCCGUCGAUGCCAUUUCGGUUAAGUCCGGGGAUGUUUUAGUGGCGGACGGGUGACUAACGCGUGGGCCCCCUGCCUUACCCCGGGAGAUAACACUUAAAAAUAUGUGCUAAUACCGUGUAACAGGAGAACCUGCAUGUGUUUUCCUUGAAAACCACGGUGGUGUAAGAUGGACCCGCGUCUGAUUAUCUUGUUGGCAGGGUAACGGCCUACCAAAGCGACGAUCACUACCCGGCCUGAAAGGGUGGACGGCCACUUUGGAACUGAAACACGGCCCAAACUCCUACGGAAGGCAGCAGGGGGGAAUAUUGCACAAGGGGGGAAACCCUGAUGCACCGACGCCGCGGGAGUGAAAAACUAUUUCGGUAUGUAAAGCUCUGUCAGCAGGGAAAAAAAUGACGGUACCUGACCAAGAAGCCCCGGCUAACUACGUGCCAGCAGCCGCGGUAAUACGUAGGGGGCAAGCGUUAUCCGGAUUUACUGGGUGUAAAGGGAGCGCAUACGGCAGUGCAAGUCCGGAGUGAAAGCCCGGGGCCCAACCCCGGGACUGCUCUGGAAACUGUACGGCUGGAGUGCCGGAAAGGUAAGCGGAAUUCCUGGUGUAACGGUGAAUUGCGCAGAUAUUAGGAGAAACCCCAGUGGCGAAAGCGGCUUACUGGACGGUAACUGACGUUGAAGGUUCGAAAGCGUGGGGACCAAACAGGAUUAAAUCCCCUGCAACUCCCCC